rnacentral:rRNA from 1 species
CACGUAGGCUGUAGUGUAAGUCAGGGGUGAAAUCCCACGGCUCAACCGUGGAACUGCCUUUGAUACUGCACAACUUGAAUCCGGGAGAGGGUGGCGGAAUUCCAGGUGUAGGAGUGAAAUCCGUAGAUAUCUGGAGGAACAUCAGUGGCGAAGGCGGCCACCUAGACCGGUAUUGACGCUAAGGUGCGAAAGCGUGGGGAGCAAACA